rnacentral:lncRNA from 1 species
AACUGAACUCGCUUGAAACACACUCUUAGCUCUUUUAAUUUAACAAAUAGAAACAAUUGCAAAUUUAUAUAGCAAAAUAACUGACCAUGUAAAUUGACUUAAAUUUGACCUCUACCAUAAAAUAUAACUUAACCAGUGGGGCCUAAAAUGAGGUUCAUUGUGAGGUAAAAUAAUUGAGUGAAUGGGUCCUGACAUAAAGUACUACCAUACACUGUUUUUGUAGGAAAAUGUGGGGAUAUGCUAUAAAUAAACUCAUCAUAGAUACCAGGACUAAAUUUUAUAUAUACGCCAGACGCGCGUUUCUUCUACAAAACUCAUCAGUGAUGCUCGAAUCCAAAAAAAAAAAAAAAGCCAAAUAAAGUACAAAGUUGAAGAGCAUUGAGAUCUGAAAUUCCUAAAAGUGUUGCCAAAUACAGCUAAGGUAAUCUAUGCCUGAGGACAAAAGCCUUAGUAUUUCAAAAAAAUCAAAAUUUUUUAACAGUUAAUUUAUAAAUAUAAAAUAUCAUGAUAAUUCAUUGUCAGCACAAAAAGUGCUGACUACUGGGCUGGCGAUACCCUCGGGGAAAAAAAUCUCCACCAGCAGUUGCAUCGACCCUAUGUGAUGAACUGCAAAUAAUGAAUGACUUCCUGGUGGAGAUUUUGUUGUAGGUAAAAUAACUAGAAGCUUCUAAAGAGCCUGUGUCACUCACAUAUAAAACAAAAGACACAGAUGGAUUCAUGACAAAAUUGUGUUUUGGUGUUUUGGUGAUGGGGAUGUGUCUGUAGAUCUUACUUUACUGAAAAUUCUUGCUGCUUAAAAUUAACUCUAUCUAUAAUGAUCUUGGCCAAGUAGUUACAGUGAAACGUUUUACAAAAUUUGUAAAAGUGAUAAAAAUUUACUAUAAGGGCAACUAGAGGCUCUAAAGAGCCUGUGUCGCUAACCUUGGUCUAUGUACAAGCAGCAUAUUAAACAAAGGACACAAAUUAUAGACGAGAAUAGAAUUCAAAAUAAAAUUGUGUUUUGGGUGAUGAUGAUGUGUUUUUCAAUAUCACUUUACUGAACAUUCUUGCUGUUUACAAUUUGUCUCUAUCUAUAAUAAACUUGGCUCAAAAGUUUUAUAGUAAACAUUUUGUAAAAGUUAACAAAAAUUGUUUAAAAUUUACUAUAAAGAGCAAUUACUCCUUAAGGGGUCAAUUGACUGUUUUGGUUAAGUUGACUUAUUUGAAGAUCUUACUUUGCUUUACAUAUUUGCUGUUUACAAUUUAUCUCUAUCUAAGAUAAUAGUGAAGAUAAUAACAAAAAACUGCAAAUUUUCUUAAAAUUACCAAAUCAGGGGCAGCACCUCAACAACGGGUGGCCUGAUUCGUCUAAAAAUUUCAGGGCAGUUAGAUCUUGCCUUAAUGAACAAUUUUACUACGUCAGAUUUGCUCUUAAUGCUUUGGUUUCAGAUAUAUUAGCCGAAAACUGCAUUUUACCCCUAUGCACUAUUUUUAGCCAUGUUGGCCAUCUUGGUUGGUGGGUGGGGUCAUAGGACACAUUUUUUAAAUUAGAUACCCCAACACACCUGUCUAUAGAUGGACUGGGCUUAAAUAAGCGAACAUCUUAAAGCCCGCUCAGUCAAGUCAAAUAAAUCUAGUAAUAAUAGAAACAUAAAAUCUAAACAAAAAAAAACAAAAAAAUUUAAAGAGCUCAAAAGA